rnacentral:rRNA from 1 species
GGGGGUAAUUUAAUAAAUAUAAAUUAAUAAAAAAAAUUUUAUUGUUAAAAAUAUUUAAAUGGGGGUUAAAGUAUUUUUAAUAGAAAAAAUUUGAAAAUUUAUAGUUUAAUAGUAUUGUAAAGAAAAAUUUAAAUAAUUGAAAUAUAAAAUUAAAGUAAAAGUAAAUUUAGUUUAUUGUAUCUUGUGUAUUAGAGUUUAUUUAAUAAAAUUUAUAUUUAUAAUAUUCUCGAAUUUAAAAGAGUUAAUUAAUUAUUAAAGUUAAUGUUGAAUAAUUAUUUUAAAUAAUUAAUUGGAAAUGAAAUGUUAAUCGUUUUUAAAUAUAUCUAGUUUUUUUAGAAAAAAAUUUAAUUUUAAAUUUAAAUAGUUUUAUAAUUAAUUAUUUAUUAAUUAUGAAAAUUUAAAAUUUAAUAUUUUAGGGGAUAAGCUUUAAAUUAAAUAUUUAUAAUAAUUUUUUUUUUAUUAAAAUUUUUAAAAUUUAUAUUGUUUAAAAAUUAUAAUUUAUUAUAAAAAAUUUUAAUUUAAUUAAAAUUUAAAUUUGAAAUUUAAAUUUUUAUAAAAAAAUUAUUUUUAAUAACAGAAAAUUAGAAAUAAUGAUAAAAUUAGUAUAUUAUUAUUAAAAUUUAGUAAAUUUAAUUUAAAUUAAAUAAAAGGAAUUCGGCAAAAAUUUAUAUUCACUUGUUUAUCAAAAACAUGUCUUUUUGUUUAAUAAUUUAAAGUCUAAUCUGCCCACUGAUAAAAAUUAAAGGGCUGCAGUAUAUUGACUGUACAAAGGUAGCAUAAUCAUUAGUCUUUUAAUUGAAGACUUGUAUGAAAGAUUUGAUGAAAUAUAAACUGUCUCUAAUUUAUAAAUAAAAUUUAAUAUUUUAGUGAAAAAGCUAAAAUAAAAUUAAAAGACGAGAAGACCCUAUAGAGUUUUAUAUUUAUAUAAAUUUUAAUAAAUUAUAUAAAUAAUUAUUAAAAUUUAAUAAAAUAUUUUAUUGGGGUGAUAAAAAAAUUAAAUAAACUUUUUAUAUUUUUAAACAUAGAUAAGUGAAUAAUUGAUCCAUAAUUUAUGAUUAUAAGAAAAAAUUACCUUAGGGAUAACAGCGUAAUAUUUUUUUUUAGUACAAAUAAAAAAAAAAGUUUGCGACCUCGAUGUUGGAUUAAGAUAAAAAUUAAAUGCAAAAGUUUAAAUUUUUGAUCUGUUCGAUCAUUAAAAUCUUACAUGAUCUGAGUUCAAACCGGUGUAAGCCAGGUUGGUUUCUAUCUUUAAUAAAUUAUAAUGUUUUA